GGCGAUCCGCGCACCGGGUGAGUAACACGUAUGCAACCUACCCAUAACUUGGGAUAGCCCGCUGAAAAGCGGAUUAAUACCUGAAUGACACAGGAUACCGCAUGGUAUAUUUGUUAAAGAUUUAUCGGUUAUGGAUGGGCAUGCGCGGGAUUAGUUAGUUGGUAAGGUAACGGCUUACCAAGGCAGCGAUCCUUAGGGGAACUGAGAGGUUUAUCCCCCACACUGGUACUGAGACACGGACCAGACUCCUACGGGAGGCAGCAGUGAGGAAUAUUGGUCAAUGGGCGAGAGCCUGAACCAGCCAAGUCGCGUGAAGGAAGACGGUAUUAUGUAUUGUAAACUUCUUUUAUAGGGGAAUAAAGUGUCGGACGUGUCCGAUUUUGUAUGUACCCUAUGAAUAAGCAUCGGCUAACUCCGUGCCAGCAGCCGCGGUAAUACGGAGGAUGCGAGCGUUAUCCGGAUUUAUUGGGUUUAAAGGGUGCGUAGGUGGACUGGUCAGUCAGUGGUGAAAUCCCGGUGCUUAACAUCGGAACUGCCAUUGAAACUUCCAGUCUUGAGUGUGAUCGGGGUAGGCGGAAUUCGUAGUGUAGCGGUGAAAUGCAUAGAUAUUACGAAGAACACCGAUAGCGUAGGCAGCUUACCAGAACACAACUGACACUGAGGCACGAAAGUGUGGGUAUCAAACAGGAUUAGAUACCCUGGUAGUCCACACAGUAAACGAUGAAUACUAGGUGUUUGCGAUAUACCGUAAGCGGCCGAGCGAAAGCGUUAAGUAUUCCACCUGGGGAC
rnacentral:rRNA from 1 species